rnacentral:rRNA from 1 species
GGCAGGCCUAACACAUGCAAGUCGAGCGGAUGAGAGGAGCUUGCUCCUCGAUUCAGCGGCGGACGGGUGAGUAAUGCCUAGGAAUCUGCCUAGUAGUGGGGGACAACGUUUCGAAAGGAACGCUAAUACCGCAUACGUCCUACGGGAGAAAGUGGGGGAUCUUCGGACCUCACGCUAUUAGAUGAGCCUAGGUCGGAUUAGCUAGUUGGUAGGGUAAAGGCCUACCAAGGCGACGAUCCGUAACUGGUCUGAGAGGAUGAUCAGUCACACUGGAACUGAGACACGGUCCAGACUCCUACGGGAGGCAGCAGUGGGGAAUAUUGGACAAUGGGCGAAAGCCUGAUCCAGCCAUGCCGCGUGUGUGAAGAAGGCCCUCGGGUCGUAAAGCACUUUAAGUUGGGAGGAAGGGCUUACAGCGAAUACCUGUGAGUUUUGACGUUACCGACAGAAUAAGCACCGGCUAACUUCGUGCCAGCAGCCGCGGUAAUACGAAGGGUGCAAGCGUUAAUCGGAAUUACUGGGCGUAAAGCGCGCGUAGGUGGCUUGAUAAGUUGGAUGUGAAAUCCCCGGGCUCAACCUGGGAACUGCAUCCAAAACUGUCUGGCUAGAGUGCGGUAGAGGGUAGUGGAAUUUCCAGUGUAGCGGUGAAAUGCGUAGAUAUUGGAAGGAACACCAGUGGCGAAGGCGACUACCUGGACUGACACUGACACUGAGGUGCGAAAGCGUGGGGAGCAAACAGGAUUAGAUACCCUGGUAGUCCACGCCGUAAACGAUGUCAACUAGCCGUUGGGAUCCUUGAGAUCUUAGUGGCGCAGCUAACGCAUUAAGUUGACCGCCU